CGGGGCCGCAGCUAACGCAUUAAGUACUCCGCCUGGGAAGUACGCUCGCAAGAGUGAAACUCAAAGGAAUUGACGGGGCCCCGCACAAGUAGCGGAGCAUGUGGUUUAAUUCGACGCAACGCGAAGAACGUUACCUCAACUUGGCAUCCCAAUGACAUCUCCUUAAUCGGAGAGUUCCCUUCGGGGACAUUGCUUACAGGUGGUGCCUGGUUGUCGUCAGCUCGUGUCGUGAGAUGUUGGGUUGAGGCCCGCAACGAGCGCAACCCUUGUCUUUAGUUGCCAUCAUUAAGUUGGGCACUCUAGAGAGACGGCCAGGGAUAACCUGGAGGAAGGUGGGGAUGACGUCAAAUCAUCAUGCCCCUUAUGCUUAGGGCUACACACGUGCUACAAUGGGUAGUACAGAGGGUUGCCAAGCCGUAAGGUGGAGCUAAUCCCUUAAAGCUACUCUCAGUUCGGAUUGUAGGCUGAAACUCGCCUACAUGAAGCUGGAGUUACUAGUAAUCGCAGAUCAGAAUGCUGCGGUGAAUGCGUUCCCGGGUCUUGUACACACCGCCCGUCACACCACGGGAGUUGGAGACGCCCGAAGCCGA
rnacentral:rRNA from 1 species